UUGAGUCGUUACGUCAAACAAUGCAGGUUAACAUCCCUCCUCACUGAUCCGAUCACUGCCAGAUCAUGUUCGACUGUUCACACUUUGCUUUAAAAUGCGUCCUGGAUGUGUCUGUGAUUGGAUCUGGGGCUUCACUUUCAUCUAAGUCAAGGUGUGAAUCAUAGUUGGUGAUGGUGGUGGUGCUGGUCAGGUAAUAAGACCACAGCGGCUAAAUAUGUGGAGUUCCUCCCCAGGCUUUUUGGAGGUUUCAAGAUAACUCUGUUUUUACAGAGAAUGGACUGGCGAGUGGCAGUUCUCUCUGCAUUGUAGAUGCCAGGGUUUAAGUCCAACCUUUGAGCUAUAGCAGCAGAAGACCACAUUGGGUGCAACUUAUAAUGUGUCCUGUAUAUGACCUGCUGCAGCCCUGAAAUAGCAGCGAGAGGAAAUCCAUGGGACACUUCCUCGUCACCAGUUGCCCAUAACCUGGAUGAGUGGCACCCUCCCUUAAUGGAGCCUGGAGCCUGACUCCCACUCACCCUGGUCUCUCGUGACGUAUGGAGGCCAGCAGCUCAUCGCGAGUCACCGCACUGAAGUGGAGCUGAGAGCCUAAGGUGGUUGAGGCUGCUUUUUGGUUAUGUCUCCUCCCUCCUUAGCCCUCCUCACCACCGGUGAGCCUCAGCCCUAUUUUAGCUAUUAUAUGGUGUUUUAAUGUCAUA